rnacentral:rRNA from 1 species
CACGUAGGGCGCGAGCGUUGUCCGGAAUUAUUGGGCGUAAAGAGCUCGUAGGCGGCCCGGUAAGUCCGCUGUAAAAGUCAAAGGCUCAACCUUUGAAUGUCAGUGGAUACUGCCGGGCUAGAGUCCGGAAGAGGCGAGUGGAACUCCUGGUGUAGCGGUGGAAUGCGCAGAUAUCAGGAAGAACACCAACGGCGAAGGCAGCUCGCUGGGACGGUACUGACGCUGAGACGCGAAAGCGUGGGGAGCGAACAGG